rnacentral:rRNA from 1 species
AACCUCCGCAAUGUGAGAAAUCGCGACGGGGGGAUCCCAAGUGCCAUUCUUAACGGGAUGGCUUUUCAUUAGUGUAAAGAGCUUUUGGAAUAAGAGCUGGGCAAGACCGGUGCCAGCCGCCGCGGUAACACCGGCAGCUCUAGUGGUAACAAUUUUUAUUGGGCCUAAAGCGUCCGUAGCCGGUUUAAUAAGUCUCUGGUGAAAUCCUGUAGCUUAACUGUGGGAAUUGCUGGAGAUACUAUUAGACUUGAGACCGGGAGAGGUUAGAGGUACUCCCAGGGUAGAGGUGAAAUUCUGUAAUCCUGGGAGGACCGCCUGUUGCGAAGGCGUCUAACUGGAACGGUUCUGACGGUGAGGGACGAAAGUUAGGGGCGCGAACCGGAUUAGAUACCCGGGUAGUCCUAACUGUAAACGAUGCGGACUUGGUGUUGGGGUGGCUUUGAGCUGCUCCAGUGCCGAAGGGAAGCUGUUAAGUCCGCCGCCUGGGAAGUACGGUGCAAGACUGAAACUUAAAGGAAAU